CUGUAAUCCCAGGGUUUGGGAGGCUGAGGCAGGAGGAUAGGACUUCAAAGCCAGCCUCAGCAAAAGCAAGGCACUAAGCAACUCAGUGAGACCCUGUCUCUAAAUAAAAUACAAAAUAAGGCUGGGGAUGUGGCUCAGUGGUCGAAUGCCCCCGAGUUCAAUCCCCGGUACCCAAAAGAAAAAGAAAUAUAAAAAAAAAGGUUUCCUUGUUAGAGUUGAAUUCAUGUCAGACAGAUGGUCUUGCUGAACGGAACCUUUGCUGGGGAAUGUGCAGACGUAAAGAUUCCAGAACAUCGUCUGGGUGACAGAUUGACUCGUCAUAAUUCCUUCCUCCCAUGAGGGCAUUUCUGCUCUCCUAAACUUGAAGCAAGGGGAGGAAGAGGAAAUACUGGAUCCUGUCAGCCAUCUCCUACCUGGUACCAGUUCAUCUGCUGACAUUUGCCUGGGGCCGGAGAAGGGUCUCACUAAGUUGCUAAGGCUGGCCUCAAACAUGUGAUCCUCCUAUAUCAGCCUCUGGAGUCAAUGGGAUUGCAGGUGGUAGACUCCAUUGCUCAGGGUGAACGGAAAACAGGGCAGCAAGUCAUGGCCAAAGCACCUGGUGGAGGAAAUCUCAGCUCAUGGCAUCCAGGAAGGACAGAGAGGUAACAGGGAAGGAGCACUGGGAAGACCUGCCCUUCCAGGGGACUCCCCAGUGACCCACCUCCUCCAGCCACACCCCACCUGCCUACAGUUACAGGGCAGU